UGAUUUAUCCCAACCUGCUUAGGGCAGUGUUGUGGCACAGAACAGCUUUGGUCUGCACUCCCAGCAGGGCCUAGCACUGCCUGGCUAUCUGCCGUGGCUCGCCAGGUGCCCUUGCCUCACACUGCUGCUGCAGGCCUGCCCCAGUGCAUGAGCAUCCUAAGGGGGAUUUCAUUCAAUUUAGGCAAAGGAAUAAAAGAGAAAGAGUUGGGAGGUAUAUACCAGGCCAGACCGGAAGGAGACUAACAACAAAGUGCAUGUUGCACCUGACCGAUUGCUCAUCAGCAUUUCAUAGGGACCUGAUAGUACAUCCUCAGCAGGCCUUGGUCAAAUAUUGGUAGGCAAGAGCUGGUUCAAAAAUAAAUAUUUGGACUGGAAAGAGUUUGGAAAGCUGAAAAUUGUGAAGGAUGCAGUAGUGGCAGACCCACUGCAGUUCUGAUGCAGAUGCCAGUGGCUCUGUGCCCUUCCAUCCCAUUAUUAGAAGGAACCUCCUCUCUCAGAUGAGGCAACCUACAGCAGGCAAGGGGAGCUUCAGCCUAGAAAAUGCAGUGAAAAAGUGUGAAGCAAGAUUUCUGUAAGUACUCCAUCCCCAUGGAUGCCUCUGUGAUCGUGAGAAAAGAAGACUGUGGUGAACUGAAGAGGCAUGACUCUGCUUCAGUGACAGAAUCUAUAGCCAGGAUGAUCUGUGCUACUGUAUAAUGAUAGAAAUCCUGCAUCUUUGGCUAUUCAUGGGCCUGAGAUACAGCCUACUGCAGCUGAUAAGGUAUAAUGGACUUCAGUGAUCUUCAGCACCUCUGAACUGAACACAGCGAAGACCCAACAUGACCGAAGUUUCCAAGUCCAACUGUAAGCAGGAACCCUUCACAGGGAAGGCAGCCCAGGUGUCCAGACCCAGCCGACACAGCACUUCCAUUAGCUUUCCGGAAACACAACUGGUUGGAGGUCAUUCAUGUUUGUCUGGGAAAAAAAGUCUGCAAUUCCUCUAUCAUUGGCACAAGUGAUUUAACUGGAGGAUCAUAGGAGUAGUUUAGCGCCUAGUACAAAAAAGCCCACUUAGACAGGUUCAGACAUUGGUACAUGGGCUUUGGGUUAUGAUGAUAUAGUUACUGGAUUCACAGUAAGCUGGUGUUAGCUGGUAUUACCUUUACAUUACCCUUAACAUUUUUCAGUUCCAUUAAUGAGGAAAUACAGUGAAGAUCUAGCUGUGAGGAGACUUUGGCUGAGUGUUUAUUGAAAUAAGAAAAACACUGGCAAAAAUUUUGUCAUUCUGAUCGGACCAAGACUAUGACAAAAAGUAGUUGAUUAUAUAAACGAUCUCAUCUUGUAUCAUUAUAAGAUUAUGUAGAAUGAAAGCAAGCAGUUCAAAGAACUUGAAUGACAGUGAGUAUAGAAACUCAUAAACCAAUUUAAAUCUUCAAACAAAUAAUGGGUUGUUCUGGCCUGCUCCAUUCUGAGCAGUAAUCAAGUAGCACUGCAACUAAUCACUCUAUCAGUAAGAUCUAUGCAAGGGGAAAGUUAUGCAGGAUACCUCUGACCUCCAUUCACAGCCAGAAAGCUUGGGAAAGAGCUGAGCAUAGGGACAUCCUCACUUGUGCAACAGCAGCCAGAAGCUGGGAAAGAAGAAAAUGUUGGCACAAAGCAUAAAAGUCAAACUGAAGGUUCAACAAGCAAGAGCUUAAAAGUGAAAGCCAGACCCCCACCAACCACAGGGAUGAUACAGAAUGGAGAGAUGAAGCUUUUGAAGUGUGGGCUGGCUCUCUGAUGGGAAGGCUGUAUCCUCUCUAUGCACACUUCACAGAAGAGCCUGUGGUAUAGAGUGUUCUAUCCAUUUCUUAAAUGUCUCUGCUGCUAAUGAAGUUGUCUUUGGCCCAAUGAAGUGAAAAGUUUCUUCUUAAAAAGGAAGACAAAGCCAACAACAAAACCAGCAACUAAAACCCACAAUAAUAGGAUUUAAAAACAAAACCAAAUGAGUUUAUAGUAACAGACUGGCUGCUAACCUUCCUGUACACAGAUUGUUCUGAUUUAUUUUUGGAAUAUGGCACUAAGCUCUGGAUUUCUUCAUGAAUGCUUUGAGAAUUUUACUUUCCCUGUCCUUUAGUACAGGACACAACGUGCUACAAGUCUCAGAUCUUGUUUCCUUUCACUUUCUACCUUCAUUUGAAAGACUUUGUCCUGCUGGCUCUUCUGCAUUGUAUUCCUUGGCUGUUUACAGAAGUUGUUUCUUGUGUGCCAAGCUCUUUUCACAUAAUGUAACUCAAUCCAUAUGUCCACUUCAUAAAAUGGAAUACAAAUCUCUGGCAGAUGCUCUCUCAACAUCCGGCUGCUACUUCAGCAUUUUUUGUCCCAUGCAUUUUUUACAAGGUUUUUGUAGCUCUGUUUUUUGUAGCAAUCAGAAACAAAAGCAGCUUCUUUCCUGCUACAGAUCUCAAAAAAAAAAAACCAAAAAAACAUUUGAAGUCUUGGUUCCCAGUUUUUUCAUUCAAAGCAUGAUGAUAACCUGGUAGUUAAAUGUUUUAUUUUCCUAGUUCCUCUUGUUUUCCAAAGGAAAGCUAAAGGUUUCAAGACAAAUGUCUUAUUUUAAAAAGUAUGGAAACUCCAGAAAUUUGCCUACUGUUCCUCUGCCCUAAUCCAGUUUAUUUGAAGCGCAGGUGGGAUUGGAAGCUUGUACUUGGUUACAGAUAUUCUUCUGCCUCUUACUUGAUGAGCUGUGUGAGACUGCUGAAGAAGUAGUGGUGGGUCAAGUGUUGCGUUUGUCCAUCACAUUUCAAAGAAGCUCAUCUUCUGGAUGCAGAGCUCUGCCAGCUUUCUGCUUUUAAUUUAGACAGAAAAACCACAGCAGUGUUCAGCUUCAUACAACUCAAAGUUUAUUCAGUUUCCUUAUCUGAAGACUACAAUUUGGUUUAUAUGCUUGUGACACAAAGCUAUAUUUUCAUGCAUCCUUGUUCUGUGACCAAAUUCUGUAAAUGGCAAAGAUCAAGCAGUAAAAGGCAUGUGCACAAUGUACUUCUACUGCACUAACUCAGAAAAAAUUAAAGCUGUAAAAACUGUCUGAGCUACAGAAAGGAGCAGUGAGGAAGUAUGAGUGCUUCCAAAGAUAUUUAGUGAGUAUGUGUGUUUAUAUUGUAAAUUAAUUUCAAACAAAAGCAAUUUAUCUUGUCUGAACAUUCACAUGGUAUGUAGUACAAAUUAAGUAGAAAAACAAGAACAGAAUGCUUGAAAAAUUUUACCUAUUAAAAAGCUGCACUGGGCACUUCUCUAUUUUAGGACAAGAUUUAAUUGGAUUGUUUAAAAUGCACUGGCAGGACAGUCAUUUUCUUACCAGCAGGUAACAGCAGUUCCAAAAAAGGUUCUUUCUCCAAUGUUGCUGCAGGAACCGUUGCUACUUAGAAACUAGCGAAGUCAUUCAUCAAAAUGAAAAGAACAAACUGUUAUAUAAAGCAAUAAUUUUGCCAAACAAGUAUUUUGAGUCUGUCUAAAGUGGAUGAUCAGAACAUACUACCCUGUUCAUUGGUAAUAAAAACUUGGAAGGAUACAUGUCUGGCCUAGUAAUUUUUUUUUCCAAGCAUAAAUAUAAUUUUCUUCUUAAAGCAAUUUUUUUUUUUUAAUCUUUCUGGUUAUUGCAGCAUUUUUCCUUAUCAAUGCCUAACUUAUUGUCCACUGCAGCAAUGCACUGAAGAUGCAGAAAAGGACUGAAUGCCAAUGGGGUAGCUUCACAGGAGGUGUUUGUUAUCUGUAGGUAUGUUGCUGCUAGU